GUCUACGGCCAUGCCAUCCUGAAUGUGCUCGAUCUCAUCUGAUCUCAGAAGCUAAGCAGGGUCAGGCCUGGUUAGUACUUGGAUGGGAGACCACCUAGGAAGACCAGGUGCUGUAGGCG
rnacentral:rRNA from 1 species